rnacentral:rRNA from 1 species
GACAGAGGAUGCAAGCGUUAUCCGGAAUUAUUGGGCGUAAAGAGCUCGUAGGCGGUCUGUCGCGUCGGAUGUGAAAACCCAGGGCUCAACCCUGGGCCUGCAUUCGAUACGGGCAGACUAGAGUUCGGUAGGGGAGACUGGAAUUCCUGGUGUAGCGGUGAAAUGCGCAGAUAUCAGGAGGAACACCGGUGGCGAAGGCGGGUCUCUGGGCCGAAACUGACGCUGAGACACGAAAGCGUGGGUAGCAAACAGG